CCUACGGGAGACAGCAGUGGGGAAUAUUGCACAAUGGGGGAAACCCUGAUGCAGCGACGCCGCGUGAGUGAAGAAGUAUUUCGGUAUGUAAAGCUCUAUCAGCAGGAACGAGACAAGACGGUACCUGACUAAGAAGCCCCGGCUAACUACGUGCCAGCAGCCGCGGUACUACGUAGGGGGCAAGCGUUAUCCGGAAUCACUGGGUGUAAAGGGAGUGUAGACGGCUGUGCAAGCCUGAAGUGAAAGGCGGGGGCCCAACCCCUGGACUGCUUUGGGAACUGUACGGCUGGAGUGCAGGAGAGGUAAGUGGAAUUCCUAGUGUAGCGGUGAAAUGCGUAGAUAUUAGGAGGAACACCAGUGGCGAAGGCGGCUUACUGGACUGUAACUGACGUUGAGGCUCGAAAGCGUGGGGAGCAAACAGGAUUAGAUACCCGAGUAGUC
rnacentral:rRNA from 1 species